rnacentral:rRNA from 2 species
UACGAAGGGUGCAAACGUUGCUCGGAAUUAUUGGGCGUAAAGCGCACGUAGGCGGCCCAGCAAGUCGGAAGUGAAAUCCCACGGCUCAACCAUGGAAGUGCUUUCGAAACUGCUAGGCUUGAGUACAAAAGAGGAUCGCGGAAUUCCCGGUGUAGAGGUGAAAUUCGUAGAUAUCGGGAGGAACACCAGUGGCGAAGGCGGCGAUCUGGGUUGAUACUGACGCUGAGGUGCGAAAGCGUGGGGAGCAAACAGG